UACGGAGGGUGCAAGCGUUGUUCGGAAUCACUGGGCGUAAAGGGCGUGUAGGCGGUCCGCUAAGUCUGCUGUGAAAGCCCGGGGCUCACCCCCGGAAGGGCAUUGGAAACUGGCGGACUCGAGUCCCGGAGAGGAAGGUGGAAUUCCUGGUGUAGCGGUGAAAUGCGUAGAUAUCAGGAGGAAUACCGGUGGCGAAGGCGGCCUUCUGGACGGUGACUGACGCUGAGAAGCGAAAGCGUGGGGAGCAAACAGG
rnacentral:rRNA from 1 species